rnacentral:rRNA from 1 species
UGGGGAAUUUUGGACAAUGGGCGCAAGCCUGAUCCAGCCAUGCCGCGUGAGUGAAGAAGGCCUUCGGGUUGUAAAGCUCUUUCGGCCGGGAAGAAAUCGGUCUCUCGAAUAAAGGGAUCGGAUGACGGUACCGGACUAAGAAGCACCGGCUAACUACGUGCCAGCAGCCGCGGUAAUACGUAGGGUGCGAGCGUUAAUCGGAAUUACUGGGCGUAAAGCGUGCGCAGGCGGUUUGCUAAGACAGGUGUGAAAUCCCCGGGCUUAACCUGGGAACUGCGCUUGUGACUGGCAGGCUGGAGUACGGUAGAGGGGGGUGGAAUUCCUGGUGUAGCAGUGAAAUGCGUAGAGAUCAGGAGGAACACCGAUGGCGAAGGCAGCCCCCUGGGCCUGUACUGACGCUCAUGCACGAAAGCGUGGGGAGCAAACAGGAUUAGAUACCCUGGUAGUCCACGCCCUAAACGAUGUCGACUAGUUGUUCGGUGCAGCAAUGCGCU